GGCCGUCUUGCAGUCCUUCAGAAGGGCCUUAGGACUGGAUGUGGAUUUAGGAAGAUAACGCUAAAUGAGGGCAGAGGGCGGACAGAGCCGAGACUAACACCGAACCAAGGCCUGCUUCCCGGAGCUUCCGAGGCAGGUGUCUUUCCUGCCCAUCUCCACCCGCAGGAUUGCAGAUAUUCGUAAAUUGACAGAGCUCCAACACACACAGCCACAGCAUACAGAAGCCCAUCUCCAUCCCAUCCGUGACUCGUGCCAAGGCCAGGAAUCCAUGCAAAGGAAUACCUCUGGUGAGAUUUCUGAAGAGUCCAGUCUGGAUGGUGGAAGCCUCAUUUUGCAGCCUGUCUGACUGAAACCCGGAGCUCUCUGUUUGCAUUUCAACCCCAGUCUUUUGUUUUCCACCCCUCAAGAGGUUCAACCAGUUCAAACAUCAGAAAAAUCCUCCGGUUCGUGCGGAAGGUCAGCAUUUGAGUGAAUUCUCCAUGAUGAUGAGGCCACAGAGACAUAGACUAGAGGUUCCAGUGCUAGGCUUGCCUACGGUCCAGUCUUAUGAAGGCCUUCUCUCUAUCGGGGUUCCCUCCUCUCCGAUGGCUGUAGCCUGUGUCAAGUUGGCAUAAAAUUAGUGGGCACACUUGGCAAGUCAGCAUAUAGUGAAGAUGGACUCAGAGUCAAAGAGCUCCCUUGGUCAUCCCGACGCAUCCACUUGAAGCGUCUCUCCUUCCAACCUGUGCAAUGGACAACUUGGAAGGUUCUGGACAUGUUGGAGCCACCAGUCUGUAGAUGGCUUUUUUCCCAGUUGGAUUCCUGCUUCCUCUCACUUUGCUAUGUUUAGACUCCAAGGUGCUCUGUUACUGUGACAGCCCUGCCAGUCCCUUAAGCCCCCCAACCUCCCCAGUUUGUAUUUUCUACAACUCCAUCUACACAGUAACUCCACCCCUGGAGUAGUCCAGCCACCGCUUCUUCCCUUCCUCACUCCCCAUCAGUCAGGCUCCGGUGGACAUGGUGACAAAGAUCAUGGUCACCUACUCUGGUGGGCCUUGACCCCAAUAACAGUGUGGUAGUGUUUCUCUCUAACUCUCUGCAGUGGCUGUUUCAAGGCUUCUCCCUCAUUGUCAAAUGUCUAACACACCAGUCUUUCCUGAUGUUUAGGGCUCUAGACUUCCUCUAUGGCCCAGAGCGGCCUUCUUCCCUCCUGGCUCAAGGCAAGCGCCUCUCCCCUGAGGUCAACCCUGUCUGGGCUCUGCCUUCUGUCCUUGACAUCAUCCGCACAACACAUUGCUUCUCUCUCUCACACAGCACCUCAAUUCCAGGAGAAAUGCUCCUGGUAGUGCCUUCAAAAAAAUACCCCAAGCCCAGCAACUUCCCUUUAGCAUAAGAGAGGUCACCUCCAGACCUUGAUCUCUGCACUGAAUAAUGCUUCUUCCAGGCUUCCUUGGCUAGAUCGCACUACCUUCUGGGAUCAAAUCAAAGCAGGCUUCUCCUCUGUUCAAGACCCUAACUUACUCAGAGGAAAAGCCAGUCUCUCUAGGUCCACUGGGUCCUACCAAGGCUAUCUGAUACGAACUUUCCAUCAGGGUGGAAAACAGAACGUGUUUUUCUUCUGGUCAGCAGCUGAGCACUGGAAGUGUGCUGAUGUGACCAAGGAAGGGAAUCGUUUUUUCCCCUUUUGUGUUUAGACAGUCUUAUGAAUCCCAGGAAAGCCUCAAAUUCUGUUAUGUAGACAAAAAUGACCUUGGACUUCCUUUUCGUUCUUUAUUUUUUUUGAAACAAGGUCUCACUACAUAUCUCUGACUGGCCUCAGACUCAGACCCUGUGACCUUGAGCUUUUUAUCGUCCCCAGUACUAGUUUAACAGGCAUGUGCCACCACACUCGGUUUUAUGCAAUGUGGACCAAAUCCAGGGUUUUGCUCUUUGGUAUGCUCUACAAGUACACUACCUACUGAGCAGCAUACCCAGCCCUAAUUCUUUGCUUUUCAAUCGGCUGACAUUUAACCACCUGGUUCCAGGUUACCACACAAAAAAAGCACAGCCCACGUGAUCUACACACAUCUACCCUACACUGCUUUGCCAUGAUUUCCUCUACAGCUUCCAUCCUCUCAGAGAUCAGGACUGGGGCUGUGGUAGAGCGCCUAGCAUCCAUGUGGCCCUACAUCCAUCCCGAACAGUGCUGGAUAAAUAAAUGAAUGAUAGGCAAAGACAUUUCUCAUCUUUCUCUCCAACGCUUUAGGUGACCCGGAGACUCCACCCAUCCCUGACGUCAGUCCCUACCCCACGGUCUGGUCUUCCACGUCCGCUCUCCUUUAGCCCCAACACUGUCCUACUUAGAGGAGUACAUCACUGGGGCUGUUGCCUUGGGCUUAUGCUCACGCUGUUCUUUCUCCUUUGAAUACUCCCUGCCCAAUAUUGAUAAGGUCUGAUCAGCGCUUCCUCACUUCCUCCAAGCUGACCCAGGCCUACCCCAACUAAAAUGUGUCAAAAAGCAGCCUCCCACCCCAUUCUUUCCAGCUUAGCUCCCUCUGAUGUAUUUUAUCUUUGGGAGUCGGCUUUCUCCCUGGCAAGCGUAGAGUUCACAAAAUACUAACCCCCAAAUAGUCUCCAGCACAGAACAGGCACUCAAUAACAGUAAAGGUGCUGAAAUUAAUGACUGCA